UACGGAGGGGGCUAGCGUUGUUCGGAAUUACUGGGCGUAAAGCGAGCGUAGUCGGUUAUUUAAGUCGGGUGUGAAAGCCCCGGGCUCAACCUGGGAAUUGCAUUCGAUACUGGAUAGCUAGAGUUCGGCAGAGGGAAGCGGAAUUUCCGGUGUAGCGGUGAAAUGCGUAGAUAUCGGAAGGAACAUCAGUGGCGAAAGCGGCUUCCUGGACCAGAACUGACGAUCAGGCUCGAAAGCAUGGGGAGCAAACAGG
rnacentral:rRNA from 1 species